UUUCCGUAGGUGAACCUGCGGAAGGAUCAUUAACUACCGUCACCCCUCCCGGGGGGUGCGCGGCUCGGGGCGACCCGUGCCGUCUGUAGUCCCUGUCUUUUCGAGUACCUGUUCCGUUUCCUCGGCGGGCCUGCCCGCCAGCGAGGACCCCCACAAACCCUUUGUAAUAGCAAUAUUCGUCUGAAAAACAACCAAUAAUCAAAACUUUCAACAAUGGAUCUCUUGGUUCUGGCAUCGAUGAAGAACGCAGC
rnacentral:misc_RNA from 1 species